CACAGUACGACAAAAAAGAUGAUCUCCACCAUAAACAGGAGAGCUCCGCCCCUAGCUUAAAGACUCCACAUGAUAUUCAACCUACUCUCCAAACAGAUGCGGAUGUAUAUGAGAACGGAGAUGUUCCAAAUGUUCAAAAUGAACAAAAGUUUGAAGUGCAAGCUGUUGUAAAUGUGGUUGAUGGGCCUGCUUUCAGAAACGAGCAUACGACAGUUUGUGAAGAAACAGAACCAAAAGUAGUUCAAGAAGAUGUAUCUAGAUUUCCAGAAACUUUUUUCUACAAAACAAAACCAA